UUAUUCGGUCUGGUUCUUAGAGCAUUUUAAUUAGUGUUUUUACAACUAUUAAAUAAUUCGACUGUCGACUGAAUUAUGGCCGACCACACAGGUUUCGAAGUGGAGGGGCACAACCGUCUAUUUAUAAGAUAAUUCCUCUAUACCUAAAUCGAUUAAGUCAACUAAAAGUCGAAUAAAUCGAAGUAUGGCACGGUCGUUUGUAAGAGGAAAGUUAUUAUACGCAUGCGCAGUGAAAUUACAUUUUUUGAAGGUUUUUUAAAAUGGCUACGGUAACAGGAUUUUAGAAACUAAUCAUUGACAACGAGUAAUUUGUUUAAUUUUAGAUAAUUAAAUAGGCUUUUAACUAGUUUUUUCAUGAAAUUAUUUUAAAAAUAGCUUGCAGCUGUACGAAGAAAUUUUAAAAAUAAAAUACAAGAUCUCUGAAUGUGAAUAAUAUCUACUUUCAACUAAAGCAACUUUAGUUUUUUUGUUUACAAUUUUUAAACCUUUUUUAAAAUAUUUUUGAGCGUAGAAAUUUUUUAAUUUAAAUUUAUUCAGCAAGAUGAACCUUUUAUCUAUUUUGUAUUUUUUGCUUAUAUGAGGAUUCAAUUUUUUUUGCAGGGUUAAAAGAAAAUCUUAAUCAUUAAACUUGUGUAACCUGUUGCUAUGGUGCUCUUUUCCGAUUAUUCCAACCAUAUUCGCGUUUCAACAAAGAAACUUGCCUGUUGUAAAGAAGGGAAAAGUAAACUAAAGCAGAAAGACUUUUUCUUGGAACUCGAUAUAAAUAUUUUUUGUGUUUCGUGUUUAAAUUUUUUUUUUUAAUGUUUUCAGCUUGAGAUUGUUAAAAUCAAUAUGAGUAUAUUUAAAAUAUUUUUUACUUAAAGAUUGAAA